AGAGCAAAGCCCCUGGGGCCCAAACACGGCUGUGCUGGGCCAUUCCUUCCAAAGGCUACAGGUUGGAAGUGGGGGAAACAGAGCAGCUUUGCAGGAGAGAAACCUGAACAGACUCCCAGGUCAUCACCACGGUGAGCGGUCACGCUGGGAGUCUGCACCCGGGAGCUGGAGUGUUCAAGCGGCACUUUGCUUCUGAGGUCUCGCGCCCCCGGGCCCCGGAGGCACCCAGCCUCGUCAGGAGGAAGAUGUCAGACGGGCUCCAACCCAAAGGAUCGUCUCGGAGACGCAGAGGAAACGCCCCGCCAGUGCUCCUCGGAGCAGCCAGGGUCCCACCCAAGGAGAGGAGCGUGGGGACACGGACCCUGCCGAGAAGAGCCGCCCAGACAUCGCGAGCAAGUGUGACGCCGUCUGGAGGACAUCCUGGCACAGAGACGGGACCCGGGUGAAAACGAAGGAACUUCAAGCCACCAAGGGGCCUCAGGGAGCAGGGUCUGUGACUCGUGGGCACUGCGCCGCAUCCUCCUAAACGCUGCGUCUGCCGUCCAGCUCCUGAGGGCCGGGUCUCUCCUGCAGGAUUUAUGGGCCAAACGCUGCCAAGCAGACAGAAAUCCAAAUAGGAACACGUCUCACCCUAACAGAGCUUUAAUUCAGCGAGAAGCACGCCCCAGAUACGCAGACAGUUUCCCAGCGCUCGGGGCCUGGAAUCCCACUCCCUCCUCCUCGGAGCCCUCGGGAGGACACGGGCCCGCGGGUGACAUGACCGGAAGCGGCCUGGUGACGGCUGCGAGAAGAGCCCUGGCUGGGCCCCCGUCUCCCACGUUAGGUGGGAGCCCCAUUCUCAACGAGCACGUGUGAGACGCUUCUAGGUGGAUCCUAAGGUUUCUACACAGAAAUCCCCCUUCUUGUUGGGUGAGCCUCAAAUUCUCCUGUCGCCCUGUCUCCACCUCCUGACAGGCCCCAGCGUGCUCACCUUGGGGCACCGUGGGGGGAGGGCUGUUCUCCAGGACGGAGACGCUUUAUGACCUCGGGGGCGGGGGGCGUCCAGAUGGACACAGCCCGCGGACGUCUCGCCUUUGCCUUCCCAGUCUCAGGAGCAGCCUGGACUCGCAGGACAGGCAGAUCAGUGUCGGGGGGUCCCUGUCACUCAGACACGGCUGCGGGGCCCACGGGGCGGCGGACGUGGACGUGGCGGGCUGUCUUAGCUCUGUGUUGGGUCACAGCUGGGCCGUGUCUGCUUCAGAGCUGCCACCUCUGCACCACGUGGGCCCUCGCCCCUCCACAUAGGGCAGCAAGGACCAAAUACACCCUCAGAAUCUUUCUCAACACUGUGCUCCCAGGAACCAGCCCCCAGCCCAUCAAACCAGCUCAGCAGAGGGAACCACUUGCCCCUCCUGGUCUGUAGGGUGAGGCUGUUGAAGAAAAACAAACUACUCCCUAAAACAACUGGCGUUUGGGAGAAAGAAUUUGCACCAGCUAUUAUUUGAACAACAAACACUCGUUCCUCUGAUGAGUCUCCAGCACGUCUGUGUGUCCCCCUAGUACUCACCUGGAGUUGUCCGUGACUGGUACCACCGUGGGACCGUGGGACCGUGUGUCUGCCUGGUCUGCUGAGCGAGCCCCUCCCCUACUCCCAGCAGGCGAUGGGAGCAUGGGUGGUGCCCAACACAAGCUCAUUGACUUGAAUUAAAAGCACUUAAGGAGUUCCUGUCGUGGCUCAGCAGGUUAAGAAAAUGACCAGGAAGGCAGGUUUGAUCCCUGGCCUCGCUCAGUGGGUUAAGGGGACGUCGUGGCUGUGGCUGUGGUGGAGGCCGGCAGCUGCAGCUUUGAUUCGACCCCUGGCCUGGGAACUCUAUAUGCUACAGGUGUGACCCCCCCAAGAAAGAAAUCACUUAAGUGAUGUACUCAAUCGGAGUCCAGGAUUCCAGGAAGCACUUCUGUCAGGGGACAAGGCCAAGGGGACAAGGCCAAGGAUGACAACCUGCAAGAGAAGGGGUGGCGCCUGCAAGCCCUCGACUUGCCGUCAGAACCAGGAACCAGGGUCUCAAAGUGCAGUUGCUAAUUCAAGGUUUGUCCAAACCGGGGGAAUGCCUUGGUCAGCAAAACCGGACCCCAAACCUCCCGAGAACAAGCUGUCUAGUGAGAUUUCCGUUACCUGCUGCUUCCAGGCGGACUGGAAGUACCUCCGGGCCGCCUUCCCACUGGUGGUUUGGCACGUCUUCCCCCAGCUGGAGCCCACAAGUGCAAAAAUCAAAUGUCCUGGGAGGAGACUUGAUUAAAUGUCUUCAAACCUCAAAAAAGAAGACGUCAGUUCAGGCAGAGUUCAAGUUUGGAGGUCAAGCCUCAGGGACCCCUGGGGCUCUUUUGUAGAGAGCGCUUUAACUCUGGCCUUGAAAUCGGACCCCGGAGACCUUCUCCGGAGCCCCAGGCGCUCGCCGCCCCACCCCCCUUUGUUCUGUGCGGUCCCCGCGGCCGAGGCAGAGUCAGGAGGUUCCGCCUGCUGCGCUGCGGGCCGGCCCGCCGACUCCCGCAGAGGGGGCGCGGUCAUCCGCCGCUCUUCUGCUCACGCCCCUCUGCUCCCUCUGCGAUGGGACCUUCAGAUGGCUGACCCUUGCUGGGAUCUGCUUUUCCAGCGAGAUAGGAUCAGUUCAAGCUGCCUUUGCACACGAAAACCUUCAGAGGCCCCUGGCGAUGCCGCCACCUCCCGCCCAAGAUGCUGACAGAUGAAGCAGGAGGGAGCAAUCCAGUGUGUGUUUGAAAACCAAGGAAUUCUAAGGUUUUUACCUAGUUUUGAGCACUUUCCAGCUGUCAUCCAGGGUGGCUGGCUUCAGGGAUGGAUGCUGUUUUUCUGAAAAGGAAAUCAGGCUUCAUUUUCCCUCAAGCGCCAGAAUACCUCUCUGAGCCGCGGCUGGGGACGCGUGACGUGCCAAGCCACUGGCCCCCCUUGGUCCCCGCUCUUUGUGGUACCGCUACUCUUUGCCAUGGGGCUGUGGAGUCUCACUGUUUCUUACCAAGAAGGCUGGCGACUUUACUGCAUCAGAUGAUAACACGAGGACAGCUGAAAAAGGCCAGGAAGGGCCCAGGAGGAGGCUGCCCGCCAGUGCCCUGUGCCCUAUGCCGCGAGGAGGGUCGCCGGGCAAAGCUGGGGGGGGGUGGUCCCCCACCAGAGACACCCGGAGGCCUCUCCACGACCCAUGCACAGAGGCCGAGGCAUUACAUACCUGUUGUGAGCAGCGCGGGCAGGGGUGUGGGAGCCUCCUGCCCCUUCCCCUUGGAGAAGAACCCUCGUCACCAAUGAAGGAAAACAGUACGGCACAGGGUCUGUCCCUGUCAGAAAAUCCAUCUGCAUCUGGCUUCACAGGCAGGGACCAACAGACCCAAACCGCAGAGCCGAUGCCGUGUCUCACAGACCGAGCUCGCUUUCCGGUCCUAGGAGCUUCGUGUGUUCGCAAAAGUGGAGAGAGGGCCCUGUCCUCAGGCUGGGGCGAGGCAGACAGAUCCGUGGCGGGGGAUGGGGGGGCGCCCCGCAUGCACGUUGACAGUCCUGAGUGUGAGUGUGCAUGUGUGUGUGCCCGUACAUAAGCACACACCUAUGUGUGCGUGUGUGGGUAUGCGUACAAUUCUCUUCUCCUUGAUGCCGUCAAAUCCAGGUCUAGCAAGGAGGCUGCACAGCGGGAGGCCCUUGAAUGUUCUCUUGGGACAGACUCACUGCAGGACGCCCGCCCUGUGGAGGGGCAGCGGCGGUGGGACCUGGGCCAUUCCUUAAUUGUCACCUGUCCCCACCUUCCAGCCACGAGAAGCUGUGCUUUCUGUGUGAGAUGCAUUGAGAUGGUGUGGCUGCAAAGGAAGCUGCAUUUUGAACAGAGAGACGGCGGGCGAGGUGGAGGGAAGAAACGGGGGUGUUAGAAACACCGGCGCCAACCUGCCCCCCAGCUGCCCCCAGCACACACCGAGCCAAACCCCAGGUCUGCGGCCCCCGCUGCGGCUGGUGCACGCUGGGCCACCGCCAUGCGCCGGGCAGGACCUGUCCCUGUUGCACAGAGGGGACCCGUGUUUCUCCGAGUGGCCCAGGACCCGUGGAGCGGGAGACCCGUCAAGGGGGACGGAAAAUUAGGGCCAAGAGCAGCCAAGCAGCUGUCGACGAGACCGUCCACCGUGUGACGCCUCCUGCAUCGUUAACGGCCUCACGCACCUGGGAAGCACAGGGUUAAAGGGCGGCGUUUUUUGCAGAGAGGAGACGAACAGAGGCAUAUGCUUAUAUCCCCAAACUCCCCACGGGGCCCCGAAAAGGCUGUGCUGCCACCGGGCCUUCGGGUGGCCUCCCGGGUCAGUCUGGAGACCGUCACCUCCCAUGAAAGAAAAAGAGAAGCACCCGCGUUCAGAGCAGGCAGGCACACCUUUUCUGUAAAGGGCAGGACGGCAAAUAUUUCCAGCUUGGCCGUCACUGUCACAACUGCUCGACGUGAGGAAGCCGCAGUGGGGGAUGUGUGAUAGCGGCAUGUGUUCACGUGUGUGCGCGUGUGUGCACACGUGUGCACCCGUCAAACUUUAUGGACGGACACAGGCUGUGGGCUGUAUCUGGCUCAGGAAGCAGAGUCGGCCAGUCCCUGUUGAGCUGAAGACGCAACCUCUGUGCCUUCAUCGGAUUGGUGGUUUUAACAAGGUAACUGGUGACCUGCGGCAUCUCCCCAGAGGCCCGUGCAGCCCCAGACAGGCCAGCCCACGUGCAGGCCUAUUCUCAGCAUGCGUGCCAGCGGGCCCACCUGUCCCGCCAGGGGAGCCCAGCACAGGCCUCCUUGCCCAGCGUGAUGACACGAGGGCUGGCUGCAAGACCUGACCUCUGGGACGAGGGGCAAAAGGCCAAAUGUUACUCCUCUGAAGGCUUUUGUCACCUGAUCCAGCAGCCCCAAGGGAAACUGUAACGUGAACAGCUCCGACUCCGACACACCACUGCCCCUCUUCUGAUACAAAGCUGCCUUUUCUGUAGCCCCGGCCAUCCGGGAUGCAGAGCUCACCACAGACCCAGAAUGCCCAGCCCGAGACGGGUCCAGGGGCCCAGACCUGCCCCGCCAGGACCCAGAACCACCGUCGUGCCCAGAAGAGAAGUCCAGGAGGUCACCGAGAGGCCAGCGCCCGGCUCCUGCUCAGGGUCCACCAGCCCUGGUCCCCUUGUCAGGCUGGCACGGCUGGUAGCCCAGAGGUGAAGCUGACUGAUGCCAGGCUCCCAGCCGAGGCUGCAUGGCAGCCCUGGUGUGAGAGGACCGGGCUCCCUCUGGUUUGAAAUCUGUGAGAAAUUCAGUUUGAGCGCGUCCCCUUUCACCUCUGAGGCGAGCCUGCGGCCACCUGAAUCCAAACCAGAUGGCUCCUCGGGCCUAAAGACAACAAAUAGCGGCUCAAGACCCCGGUGGCAGAGGACCACCAGGGCAAGGCUGGGAACAGCCAGCUGCUUGCGAGAACUCCGCCCGAGGGCUCCCCAGAUCUGGAGAGGGCCGCCCGCAACGCCCAGUGCAUCCAGCACUGCGAACGGCUCUUUGAGCGGGUUUCCAUGAGACCCAGAGCCCCGGCCCCCGGCCCCCAGCCCCCUUCCUCUGCUGCGCCCAGCGGGGCUGGUUUGUUUUGGCAGAGCCAGCAGGUGCCCUCGCAGCGCUGGGCUUGGCGCUCUGGCGGGGUGUCCGCGGUGACCUGAAGACUUGGGUGGCCGCCUUCACGCUCUCACUUCCCCGUCGGCUGAUCCAUGUACCACCCACGUUCUGGAAGGCCCGGCGAGAUCCGAGAUUCCUGAAGGAGGGGCGCUGACCUCCGCUGCCCCCGGCCCCGGCCGGCGGCCUCUGGAGGCUUGGAAAUCUGGGCUCUGCCUUUUCAUAAACGGUGAGGGGAGUGAGCAUUUCAGCAGGCGGGCGGUGAAACUCGAGCUUCCAGCUGAUAACUGAAAUCGGGCCUCGUCAACAAACACUGGCUGGCGGCCUGGAAGCUUCUAAAUCGCCUUUGAAAAGAGAAGAGGAUACACUCUACUGUAUACAAAAGAGAUGAUCAACGCAGACCUGCUGCACAGCCCGAGGGGGGCGGGGGGGGGGGGGGGGGCGCUGUUUGGUAGCAACCUGCACGGGAGAAUCUGAAAAGGCCUGGCUGGGGCAGGCACCGAACUGAUGCGCUUUGCUGGCUACCUGAAGCCGCCACACGUUGUAAACUGAUAGACGUCAAUGUAAAAUAAAAAUUAAAUUAG
rnacentral:lncRNA from 1 species